GACGUAGGGCGCGAGCGUUGUCCGGAUUUAUUGGGCGUAAAGAGCUCGUAGGCGGCUUGUCGCGUCGUCCGUGAAAACCUGCAGCUCAACUGCAGGCUUGCGGUCGAUACGGGCAGGCUAGAGUUCGGUAGGGGAGACUGGAAUUCCUGGUGUAGCGGUGAAAUGCGCAGAUAUCAGGAGGAACACCGGUGGCGAAGGCGGGUCUCUGGGCAUUAACUGACGCUGAGGAGCGAAAGCAUGGGGAGCGAACAGG
rnacentral:rRNA from 1 species